AACCGGGUCCCGCGCAACGGGCGCUCGUGAACUCCGUCAGGCCUGGAAGGGAGCAGCGGUAACGAUGUCGUCAGUGUGCCGCGGGGGCGCCUGGUUGCC
rfam:Desulfobacteraceae bacterium 4572_35.1 ex4572_35.1_scaffold_2260, whole genome shotgun sequence.